rnacentral:rRNA from 1 species
UACGAAGGGGGCUAGCGUUGCUCGGAAUUACUGGGCGUAAAGCGCACGUAGGCGGUCUUUUAAGUUAGGGGUGAAAUCCUGGAGCUCAACUCCAGAACUGCCCUUGAUACUGAGGAUCUUGAGUUCGGGAGAGGUGAGUGGAACUGCGAGUGUAGAGGUGAAAUUCGUAGAUAUUCGCAAGAACACCAGUGGCGAAGGCGGCUCACUGGCCCGAUACUGACGCUGAGGCACGAAAGCGUGGGGAGCAAACAGG